GGGAUGUCUCGCUAUUACCGGUGCGAAGAGAGCAGCACCUCCGGUGCUCGGUACCAGCGUGUGGCCACGUACUCUGUCACGGCCUGGUCCUCAGGCCCCUCGGGGAGGUCGCCCAGGGAGCGGGCCAGGCCAAAGUCACACAGCUUCACUGUGCAGUUGGCAUCCAGGAGCACAUUGGACGGCUGCAGAGAGGAGGCAGGCUGAGGCCCCGGGGCUGGGUGGGGCCGGGAGCCGGGCCACGUGGCAUAGCGGGGGCGGGGGAACCGCACCUUCUGGUCCCGGUGCACAACGUGCCCCGAGUGGAGGAACCGGGUGGCCCGCAGGAGCUGGUAGAAGAUGGAGCGCACGUGGACGUCCUGCAGCAGGCCGCCCUUCCGGAUGACUGCGUUCAGGUCAGUGUCUGCAGAGAGGGUGCGCACUGCAGUCGGGGGUGGGGGGCUGGGGGGGCAACCUGGGGGGAGUGGGAGAGGGGCACCUGGCAGGUCUGUCCCACUUUGAACCAGCCCACGGCCUGGCCGCCCCGCUCCUCCAUCCUGUGCACUGCCUGUGGGCACAGCGGUGAGGUCUGCAGGAGUUUUAACACUUUAUUUCAUGUUGCCUUUGUUUCAUAAAAUGAGAAGAAAAAGGAGAACGCAACUGCAAACUGUGGUCAGAGCAGGAGCCUGGGGCAGGUGGGACGAAAGGGGUCGCUGCUGGCUCUGGAGGCUGACACUAGUCAGCUGUCUGUCCCUGAGUCCAGGGUACAUGGUGAGGGAGCAAGCCACUGUGGGCCAGCUGCAGAGGGACACGCAGGGGGACACGCAGAGGGACCCGCAGACGGCGUCAGGACAGAACAGAGGUGGGGCUGGGGCGCUGGCCGGGGCCUCACUCACCCAUAAACUCAAACACCAGGUAAAUGUCCCUGUCGUUCUCUGCCCGGAUCACGUCAAGGAGGCUGAUGAUGUUGGGAUGGUCCCCAAACUCCUGGGGAGAGAGUCGGAGGCGGCUGGAAGGCCAGGAGGGGCUGUGCUCUGGGGCCCAAGAAGGCCAGUUUCUCUCCUGUCUGGAGAGAUCUGUACCUGGGCAAGGGGAUUGGACUGGAGGGCCCAGGCCACUCACCUGGAGGAGCGUGAUUUCCCGGAAUGUUCUCUGAAGAGACAGAAACACAGGUGUGUGGGUGGGUGGAGCAAGAAGGAAGCCCAUGUCCUGAGAGGACCCAAAGGAGCUGAUGUCUGUCACCCAAUACCCACCAGACCAGGCGUGGCAAGGGGGCAGUGUUCCGAGACAGGCCAGAACAUCUGCUAUGACUGGGCUCCAGCUCCCACCUGAGCUUCCAGGCACCAGGGCAAGGGGCUGCCCCUCCCUGCCCCCAUCCUCUCCCACGCUUCUCCCCACACACUCACCUGGGCAUCUGUCUUAUCCCUAAAAGCAUCAAAGAUUUUCUUGAUGGCCACGACCUCACCAGUCCUCCGGUCCACUGCCUUCCACACAAUGCCAUAGGCCUGGGAAGGAGUGCCGUCACACAGGGCCAGCCCCUUCCCCCCAUCCCCUGCCCACCCAGAUUGUCCCUACAGACAUGAGGCUCCUCCUUCCCAUCCUGGGUCCCGAGAGGGGAUGGGAGUGUGGGCUCCCGCAACUGCAGGCUGCCCUAGACUCCGACAUCUUCCAGAGGAGGGGAGGUAGAGGGAAGGGAGGGUGAGAGCUGGCGAGGCCCUGGAGGAAAGGAGGCCACAGAGGGGAGCGUCUGGGCAGGAAAUGAAGCUCGGGGAUGCCCUAUCAUCCUUCCAGCUGCCCAGGCACUCUCCCUCCCUUUCUCUCACACCCCAUCCACCCCCAAUCCCAUUGGCCCUACCUUCAGAUUCCUCCAGAAUCUAGCCCCUGCCACGGUCUCUUCUGCCCCCACCCUGGUCCCAGCCUCUGGCAUCUCUCGCUGCGUGGCUACGCUAACCCCUUAACUCAUCUCCGUCUGCCGCUCCCGUGCACACCCACGGUAGGUCCUCAGCACAGGGGUGGGCCUUGUAAAGUGACACCAGCAGCUGCUACAGCUCCCAGCCUCAGCAACAGUAAAAACCAAAGUCUUGGAAGUUCCCCAAAGCUCCCACACGAUCGGACCCUCACCACUCACCUGUCUCUCUCCAUCUCCUAUCCAGUUGCACAUACACAACCCUGCACUGGGCCUACGCACUUACCGUCUGCACUGCCUGGAAGGCUCUUCCUCCCCUCCCCCAUGGCACCCUCGAACACCCCCCCACACACCCACGCACACACACACAGGCUUACAUGCUCACACACACACACAGAUACACAAGGCUCUGCCCUUCACUCUGCGCCCACCCCAUAACCGCUCAGGCCCUUCUCGGGCCUCGCCCCUGUGCUCCUGAGCCUGGGGUCCGCCCUUCCUCUCAGUGACCCGGGCGCGGGCCCAGCCUCCCCAGAGCGUCGUGUGCACCCGGGAAGCGGGCGACUGUGGACGCGUGGGGAGUGGGGCGCCAGGAUCCCUCUGCCUGAGGCCUCUGGCGGCCCUGGCUGUCACCUGCCUCCAGGAGCCAGGUUCCUGGGAGUCAGGAUCGUGUUACCCCAUGAGGAAACUGAGGCACGAAGGGGCUCCAGACCACCUCUCCCGCCUACGGAGGAGGCAGGACGCCAGUGUGUGACGGAACAGGCCUCCGAGGGGACCGGCCGCGCCCCGCAGGUCCUCUCUCCGCAGAUCUGCCGCGCCCCUCGGCGCGCGGACGCACCCCCAGGCACUCACCCCCUGCCCGAGCUGCCGCCUGAGUAGGUAUCUCCGGACAAUGCGAGGGUCCACUACGGUGCACAUGGCGGCCAGGACGCCCGCGGGGCCUUACUGUUGAGUCGGUUGCCGUGGGAACCGACGGCGGCCCGGCCCCGCCCCUCGGGGCGCCCCUCCCAACACCCCCCGCCCCCGG
rnacentral:lncRNA from 1 species